GCAACCUUGGCAAGCACAAAUGAAGGAAAUUAGCUUGUGGAUUAGUGCAGCCAUUAGUGCCAUUGGCCGUAAGCUAUAAGGCAUUACAAUUUUAAUCAAGUCUGUGAUAAUAGGUAAUUUUAAGUUUUCUCUCGAGAACUUGAUUUUAAAAGUGAAUGCAACAAUGUCAUUCAUGAUUACUCACAUCCGUUUAAACUGUAUCUCUUCUACUGAUUGCUCACUUCUACCUCUCAGGGAAGCAGAAGAUCAACUAGAUUGAGGACUACACCAAAAAGAAAAUGAAGUACUCAGCCAGUUCCGAUGAUGAGGAAGAUGAGGAUGAGGAUGCCGAUUUUGAUGAAGAGGAAUUUGCUGAACGCAAGAGCAGAAAAAAGCCUGGGCCAAAAUCCAAACAGAAACCUGCCCCUGCCUCAAAGAAGAAGCCGCCGAAGCCAAAAUCCGAAGAAGAAGAUGAUGAAGAAGAUGAGGAUGAGGAAGAAGAUGAGGAGGAUGAAGAGGAUGAAGAUGACGAAGAGUCAAACGACGCAAGCGAGAAGUCGCUUAAUUCAACUACCCCAGCAGACAAGGAUUAUGUGUCUGGAGCAUUUCUGGUCAGCAAAAGCGACUUGGCUGAUAAAGAUACUGACCCUCCUCUCUGGAGAAUUGAUGGAAAAGCUUUGUUACAAAAGUACAUUCCGUUCAAAGACGAUGAGGGGAAAACUCUGUACAGGAAUACGUACACGUAUUCCGGAUGGUCAAUUAACAACAAGAAUAACUAUUACCCUGCCUCAAUUGUAUUCAAACAGCAGUCUCAGAAAGAGCAUGUGGUUGAGUUCCAGCGUGACCUGUUACCCAAAGAGGAAGAGAACGAUGAGUAAGUGCACAUGUGAUCCACAACCACCGGGAUUUUUAAGUGCUACUAAUUUUUAAGCUGCGCAGAGGCAACUUAAUGUCACCCUCUUGAUGAUCUUAAUGCCGAACUUUUUUAAGCUAAGAUUCUGCGUAAAGAUCCUGUUAAUUUGUAUGUAUUUUAAACCUAUAUUUUAAACUUAAGAGUGCUCGUUCUUCAUGGGAAAAAAAAUCAGAAAAAUAUUUGUCUGAACUUCAUUUUCUCUCUCAUUUAUUCUAUUAUUGGCCUCUAAUCAGUAAAAUUGAAAUAUUCAGAUCAGGCGUUUCCUUUGAUCACUUUUUUCAACCGGUGUUAUUAAUGUUUAAAUAGUGUAAAAUCUUGAUCUUUUUUCAUCUAUGGUCCUAAUUGUAUAAUUCAAUCUAUUGUGAAAUGUCAGAUUAUUUUUAAGAAACUUAUUUUAAUCACAACUUUGUCUCACUUUGUCGGAGUUAAGUCCUUUGAAUUUUUUUUACAGUGUAAAAAUUUGAAGAUCAUAAAACCUCACCGAAUUUCAGAAAUGUGACUAUUCCUUUCUCUCCAUAAAUUUUCCAAACGAAUAUCCCCUCUGUGAUCACUAAGAAGUAUUGUUGGAAAGCAUUCAGAAAUGUGUAUUCCUGUUUCCAAAUCCAAUAAAUUGCUGCAUAUUUCUCAAAGAUUUUUUGGUUCCAGUUACAUUUGCUUGUACACACCUGGCAAUGUAGUUAAUAAGAAAGUUUACAGCCUUUCGGCUAGUUUGAGAAGAAUGUCAAAGGUGGAUUUAUUUUCUCUACAGACCAAGCCCUGUAGUGUACAUUACAGCCUAAUUACAAAUUUUUAAAUGAUACUGUCUUUGAAUUGUAUUUCCAGCAAGAUAAGUAAUCUCUUUAUGAAUUAAGAUUGCCUUACUUGUAGAAUUUUUGUAUUGGAUGAUCAGCUUUCCGAAGCUCCUUGUUCAGUUUCAAUUUGAUGCUCAGCUGACGUUCUUAUCACUGAAAAUUGACAAUGCAAAUUGCUAACAGCUCAAGUAUAUUAAGUUUUUGGUGCAAUGUGGCAACCAAUCUACCAUUUUCCUUUUCAUUACCAUUUUUUCAAUAGCACUACUCUUAGAUAUUUAUAACUGCUUUCACAGCAAAUAACAGAUUAUUUCUAUUCUCUCCCACAAGCUUCAGUACUUCAUUUCUUCUGUAAGGCAUAUAGUAUAAUUAAUUUUAUUAGUUUUGUUUUUCUUUGGUUUCUAUCGUGUUUCAUAAUUCUUAACUAGUUACUGCUCCUGCACAUUUUCAUUCUUGUUGUCAAAAUCACCAGCAGGGUGUUAGUCGUCAUGAUAUCUUUCGUCAUUAUUUCACUUUUUACCAACAAUAUGCUAGCAUCAGUAGCCUACUCCAUACGGUUUUAUUGAUUCAUUGCUAAUACUUGUGAGAAACGUUAUGUAUUACCUGUGAUUGAAGUUGGUAUUAAAUUCAAACUUAACGAAAGUAGUUGAUCGCAAGUUCUUCUCUGUAGUACAUAUUUCAAUUGCUCGUGAGCGACUUAAUCCCUCGCCUAACAUUUGUUAACUUGAGCAUCCUUUGACACCAAUUAACCACAUCAAUAAAUCCAUGGAAGCACUCAUUUUUGAGUUCCUUAAAGCAGUUUUCAUGAUUUUUACCUUGUUUCUCAUAAGCAUCCUUAAACUUAGUGAAAAAUGGAAUUAUUCCGAUAAUUUUCGUCCAUUAUCCCUAUUAGUUAUAGGAGAAACUUCUAUAGAAGACAAUAUCAGUAUUUGGCGGAACACUUAUGAAUUUUUGAAGAAUAGAGCUGUUGUAAAGGAAAAUUCGUGAAUGAUGCUCUCAAAUGUAAUAUGAAUUUCAUAGAGGAAAACAAUAUGUAGUAGCCUAGGUGAUACAGAGGAAAUGCAGUUUGUUCUGCAAGUAGUUGCAGUGAAGACAGUAGACAUUCUCCAUUGUCAAAAAAAAUAAUGCCAGGAGAGAAGAUGUAACUUUUUCAGAUGCUCCACAGCACUGCUGAGAACCAAAAUGCACAACUGUCAAUACUGCAGUAAGUGAAUAACUGAAUAAAAAUGUUCAUUCGGAUUAUUUAUUUCAAUAUUCCAUUUCUGUUGGUUUUUAUUAGUCUUAUUAUUCAAUUGUCACAUUUAAACCAUUGAUUAUGUCAUUGGUUGAUAUACCAUUAAUAUGUCACUUGGAAGAAACGAGCGGAAAUGAUGGAAAGAACAAAGGUUAGUUUUGAAGACACUGCUUAAGAAACAAGGAGAAAAACCACUGACUGCCUUAAACAACCUGAAAAUUUGUGCACUCUUGUUGAAUUCUAAUUAUUUUAGUGCUGAAGCAAGAAUGCCAAGUUGUGGAAAAAUGCAAAAAUCAACUGAAAAUCAAAUUUAGAAGUUUUAGUGACCUACUCGGUUUAAUCAGACCCGAAGACGCAUUUUUCAGCUUAAUUUGGCCCUGACCGCUUAGAUCCUAAAAAUGAUCUUUUCCCAUGAAUCCUUGUUCCCUAAUUAUUACCUACCAAAAAGCAUUAAUUGAGCGUUUGUCUCAAUUAAAUUUCGAAAAGUCCAAAAAUAAAAAAGGCUAUACUAAUCAUAGAAGAAAAUAUGCACUGGGGACUGGGGGUGCAAUGGUAAAACUCAGUUACUUGAGGUAAUACUUUAUUCAAAAUUAACAACCAAAACAGUCAUACUUUUAAACAUAAGGUAACAAAUACUGGCGACAAAAACAUCACAAAGCUGAUUGGACAUGAUGUAAAAUCUAAUAGAAUGAAUCGCCAGAUGGGACUUGCACAGUCUUUUGUGUGCACCCUCAUUGGGAAACAUCUCGAUGGAGACAAUUUUAAGGUCUGGAGUGACCAAAGAAAGUGCACCUCGGCAGUCUCUAUGGCAAUUCAACCAGAAGGUCCUAAGCUAAUUAAAUUUAGACCAUCAAACAAUUACUGUAUCGCGAACAACCAUGAACUAUGCGGCUUUUGGAAAGUAAGCAGAGCCUUCUUUAUUGAAGUGAGUGAAUUGGCAAAACUGCCCACUGUGAUAGGGAAGGCUUUCUCUGCAGCAAAACUUACAAACAACUCUUUUAUGGUCACUUGGAUCUGUGUCUUAAAUUCUACACUUCUAAUGUGGGAACUGUUAGGCUAACAUUUGCUCCAUCUUAUCGUGGCACACGAGAAAUUCAAUAUUCCCUUCGGAAAACGGCUCCUUUUUGCAAACUCAUGCUCCCAGGCAGAGUUGAUCAGGAAUAAUUCAGCAAUUGCUGAAAUUGGUGCAGCAACACUGACUAGAUGUUCGGUGCUGAGAAUUCUCUAAAUGAUAAAAUGGAUCAAUCGUCAGUUAUUCGUCCCAUUGAGACAAUUGAUCGAUGAUGCUGAUUGACCUCAUAAUUUCUGAAUAAUUUUCGCCUGUCUCUGCUCCCAGGAACAGAGCACUAGGAAUUUUCAUUGGAUAGAUUUGAAGUUUUGUAUGCAGUGGCACGACGUGUCUCUAAAAUAUGGGCUUAAGAGUAUCAAACUGGUUAAAAUAGCAUUGACACCUAUGGCAGUCCUGGGGCUUGCAGAAAGAGAAUUAGAAAUUUAAUCAAUACUAUUAUAAUACACUCUGUUAACUUCAGAUUAAGUAGGCAACAGUCUAAGUCAAUGGAAAAAAUUACUGUAAAUAAGUGCCGUUGGCCCAAUGUCCACAGCGCACUUAAUUUUGAUCAAG
rnacentral:lncRNA from 1 species